rnacentral:sRNA from 1 species
AUUCUGCCCAAGCGGGGAAGGAUGAGAAGCUUCGACCAAGGUUCGAGUUGAGCGCCAGCGAGAGAGCGUUGCCGCAGGCAACGACCCGAAGGGCGAAGCGCGCAGCGCUGAGUAAUCCUUCCCCCACCACCA